AUCCGGAUUUAUUGGGUUUAAAGCGCGCGUAGGCGGCUUUGUAAAUUAGAGGUGAAAGCCCGGAGCUCAACUCCGGAACUGCCUUUAAGACAGCAUCGCUAGAACGUCGGAGAGGUAAGUGGAAUUCCGAGUGUAGAGGUGAAAUUCGUAGAUAUUCGGAAGAACACCAGUGGCGAAGGCGACUUACUGGACGACUGUUGACGCUGAGGUGCGAAAGCGUGGGGAGCAAACAG
rnacentral:rRNA from 1 species